GAUGAACGCUGGCGGCGUGCCUAAUACAUGCAAGUCGAGCGAACGGACGAGAAGCUUGCUUUUCUGAUGUUAGCGGCGGACGGGUGAGUAACACGUGGAUAACCUACCUAUAAGACUGGGAUAACUUCGGGAAACCGGAGCUAAUACCGGAUAAUAUUUUGAACCGCAUGGUUCAAAAGUGAAAGACGGUCUUGCUGUCACUUAUAGAUGGAUCCGCGCUGCAUUAGCUAGUUGGUAAGGUAACGGCUUACCAAGGCAACGAUGCAUAGCCGACCUGAGAGGGUGAUCGGCCACACUGAAACUGAGACACGGUCCAGACUCCUACGGGAGGCAGCAGUAGGGAAUCUUCCGCAAUGGGCGAGAGCCUGACGGAGCAACGCCACGUGAGUGAUGAAGGUCUUCGGAUCGUAAAACUCUGUUAUUAGGGAAGAACAUAUGUGUAAGUAACUGUGCACAUCUUGACGGUACCUAAUCAGAAAGCCACGGCUAACUACGUG
rnacentral:rRNA from 1 species